CACCGUAGCUUGCAUGGGGAGGAGGCACAGAGCUCAGUUUGAAUGAAAGUUGGAAAUUUUGAUUGACAGAGGCCGCGACUAAUAAGUUAUGGGAUCUGAUUGGGGGUUGGGGGGUUGGGAAUUCAACAAGUCUCAGUCACAGCUCUUGGAAAAACUGAAGUCCUCCAACUUAUAAUCAACAGGUUGAAGCUCCUCACUCAAAACAGUUCCACAAGGUCAAGGACCAUCUGGUCACUUGCAGUAGCGAACACCAGAGGGAACCAAAGCCAGGCAUUUGAGGAGCAAGUGUGAGAAGGCCAUGGGCGUUUCACAAAAAAGGGUAAACAAGAACUUUCAUUUUCUCUUGGCCUCAGAGCAGGUAGGAACAGCAACACCAACACACUGAGGCAUUUCACCAGAAACAGCAUUACUAUCACAAAUAAACCACCCAGACUGAGCCUCAUUACUCAAGCUAAUGGUUUAAAAACCCCACACGGCUUAGCAGUAACCAUGAGGGAAGUGAUAGAACGGAAGAGCUGUGAGCUCACCCCAGGUGGGGGCGGUGCUGCAGGCGUCUAGCACCGCCCUCCAUAAGAGCAGGACUGGGCACUCAUUUCCGAAACCAAAACAAAGAAGAGGUGCCAGCAUGGAGUAGGUUGGAAAAAAGAAGGAAACAAAAAAAUCCCACAACUGUGAACCGUGGCUCCAUGAGCACAGCCAGGUUCCUUUGAGGUCUCUCUAUUGAUGAACCAAUCAGCUAUGGAAAGAGCCCAGAUGUGCAUCAACAGAUGAACGGAUAAGGAAGACAUGGUACACACACACACACACACACGCACACACGCACAGGAAUAUUAUGUGGCCAUCAAAAAUGAAAUCAUGCCACUUGCCACGACAUGGAUAGAACUAGAGGGUAUUAUGCUAACCGAAAUAAGUUAAUCCGAGAAAGGCAGUUAUCAUAUGAUCUCACUGAUACGUGGAAUUUAAGAAACAAAACAGAUGAACAUAGGGGAAGAAAGGAAAAAAUACAACAAGAUGAAACCAGAGGGAGAGACAAACCAUAAGAGACCCUUAAUCAUAGGAAAAAAACUGAGGGUUCCUGGAGGGGAGGGAGGUGGAGAGAUGCGGUAACUGGGAGAAGGGCAUUAAGUAGCGCGUGUGAUGUAAGGAGCACUGGGUACUAUAGAGGACUGAUGAAUCACAGACCUGCACCCCUGAAACCAACAAUACACCGUAUGUUAAUUAAUUGAAUUAAAAUUUUUAAAAAUGUUUAAAAAACAAAACAAAACAAACUACCUCACUAACUAGUUCUCUACCAGGACAGUGUACACAGAAAUGAAAUAGUCCACUGAUGGCGACUGUGGCAACAAUAACGCAUCUUAGCUCAAGACUAACUUUCCUAGUGUUUCCCUGCGUACAAAACUUAGCACGAAUAAUAAACUCUCUCUCUCUUUAGAUUGUGUGUCCGCCCCCCCACCCCCCCAGGUCUGUACACUCUACGCUUGGGUACCUGUACGUCAGCCACUCCUCUUCAUUCAACAAACAGGAAGCUCUGAGGAUUAUAGAAUAAAGUUGUUACAAGAUGCAGCAAGACCAACCGCCUGCUCUGGGUAAUCUCGCAAGCUUCAAGGACCGCGGGCAGAAAAAGAAAUUCCCCCAAUGGAAGCGAGCAGAAUGGUGCUUCAGGUGAGCCAACGUCACCCAGCCAGGGAGCCCACCGUGACCUUGGGCUCUAAACUACCUUCAUUGUGGACACGAUACAAAGAUAUAAAGAUAACAUUUAAUGAGGAGUCACUCGGCUGCUACGAGGGCAUGGCUGGCAAUUCAAAACUUUGGUUCAGUGUUCUGGAGCUGUGCUUUCAAAACUCAUUAGUAAUCUGUUAAAUCAAUUUAGUGGGUAGUAACCAUCGAGAGAGAAAGGGAAGGGGAGAGGGAGAAGAAAAAGAGAGAAAAUAAAGUGCGUUCCACACAUUAUGAGUAAUAUUGUUUCGUGAAACAAUUUUCAGCUGGAAGUCAUUUUUAAAUAUAGAUGUUUACUGAAUCAUGUUGUAAAAAUCAUAGCCUGAAAACAUUUGAAAAACACUGGCCUUGGCACGCCUGGGUGGCUCAGCCCGUUGGGCCUCCGGCUCUUGAUUUUGGCUCAGGUCAUCUCAAGAUGGUGAAAUCGAGCCCCAUGUCGGGC